rnacentral:rRNA from 1 species
AGCGAACGCUGGCGGCAGGCUUAAUACAUGCAAGUCGAGCGGGCGUAGCAAUACGUCAGCGGCAGACGGGUGAGUAACGCGUGGGAACAUACCUUUUGGUCCGGAACAACACAGGGAAACUUGUGCUAAUACCGGAUAAGCCCUUACGGGGAAAGAUUUAUCGCCGAAAGAUUGGCCCGCGUCUGAUUAGCUAGUUGGUGAGGUAAUGGCUCACCAAGGCGACGAUCAGUAGCUGGUCUGAGAGGAUGAUCAGCCACAUUGGGACUGAGACACGGCCCAAACUCCUACGGGAGGCAGCAGUGGGGAAUAUUGGACAAUGGGGGCAACCCUGAUCCAGCCAUGCCGCGUGAGUGAUGAAGGCCCUAGGGUUGUAAAGCUCUUUUGUGCGGGAAGAUAAUGACGGUACCGCAAGAAUAAGCUCCGGCUAACUUCGUGCCAGCCGCCGCAGUAAUAC